AAAUUUAAAAUAUUCUAAGCUUGGGCGUCCCUGCUAGUACCCCUCCCGCGCCCUUCUAGGGUUUUAGAGUCGCCGCGCUUGCAGUAGUAUUGAAGUUUUCUUCACCUGUUUCGUCACUCUCCUCAGUAUCUAUACCCAGCUUCAUUCAUUGUUUCGCCGUUCGGAUGGCCAUGGAGGUUACUCAAAUUCUUCUAAAUGCACAAGCAGUUGAUGGCACUGUACGGAAACAAGCAGAAGAAAAUUUAAAACAGUUUCAAGAACAGAAUCUUCCAAGUUUUUUGUUUGCCCUUGCUGGGGAAUUGGCAAAUGAUGAGAAGCCUGUAGAGAGUAGGAAGCUUGCAGGUUUAGUUCUUAAGAAUGCCCUGGAUGCAAAAGAACAGCAUAGAAAGAUAGAAUUUGUCCAAAGAUGGUUAUCAUUGGACCCAACAGUAAGAGCUCAGAUUAAAGGAUUAUUGUUAAGGACCCUGUCCUCCCCUUCUCUGGAUGCUCGAUCAACUGCCGCACAAGUUAUUGCAAAAGUUGCUGGUAUUGAGUUGCCACACAAGCAAUGGCCUGAAUUGAUAGGGUCUCUCUUGACGAAUAUUCCUCAACUUCCUGCUCCUACAAGGCAGGCAACUCUGGAGACUCUUGGCUACAUCUGUGAAGAAGUUUCCCCAGAUGUGGUAGAUCAAGAUCAUGUAAAUAAGAUACUCACUGCUGUUGUUCAGGGCAUGGAUUCUUCUGAAACUAAUAAUGAUGUCAGGCUUGCUGCAAUUCAAGCCCUAUACAAUGCCUUGGGCUUUGCUCAAGCAAAUUUUUCAAAUGAUAUGGAGCGUGACUACAUCAUGAGAGUUGUUUGUGAGGCUACUCUUUCCUCUGAAUUGAGGAUUCGACGAGCAGCUUUUGAGUGUUUGGUUGCCAUUUCAUCAACCUACUAUGAAAAAUUGGCUCCUUAUAUGCAGGACAUAUUUAGCUUAACUGCCAAGGCUGUGAAAGAAGAUGAGGAGCCAGUUGCCCUUCAGGCUAUUGAGUUCUGGAGUUCAAUAUGUGAUGAAGAAAUAGAUAUAUUAGAAGAAUAUGGAGGAGAAUUUAGUGGUGAUUCUGAUAUUCCUUGCUUUUACUUUAUUAAGCAGGCACUUCCAGCUCUUGUUCCUAUGUUAUUGGAGACACUAUUGAAGCAAGAAGAGGAUCAAGAUCAGGAUGAAGGUGCAUGGAACAUAGCUAUGGCUGGAGGCACAUGUCUGGGCUUGGUUGCUCGGACAGUUGGUGAUGAUAUUGUGCCUCUAGUUAUGCCAUUCAUUGAAGAGAAUAUAACAAAACCUGACUGGAGGCAAAGGGAAGCUGCUACAUAUGCCUUUGGUUCCAUUCUUGAGGGUCCAUCACCUGAUAAACUUGUACCGCUUGUAAAUGUUGCUUUGAAUUUUAUGCUCACUGCAUUAAUGAAAGAUCCUAAUAAUCAAGUAAAGGAUACUACUGCCUGGACUCUUGGACGAAUGUUUGAAUUUUUGCAUGGCUCAGCUUUGGAAACACCCAUCAUCACUCCAGCUAAUUGCCAACAGAUUAUUACAGUGUUGCUUCAAAGCAUGAAAGAUGUUCCCAAUGUUGCUGAGAAGGCAUGUGGUGCUCUUUAUUUUCUUGCCCAAGGUUAUGAGGAUGCUGGAUCUUCAUCCUCUCCAUUGACACCCUUUUUUCAAGAUAUUGUUCAAGCCCUUCUUACUGUUACUCAUAGGGAGGAUGCUGGAGAAUCACGACUUCGAACAGCAGCUUAUGAAGCCUUAAAUGAAGUAGUGAGAUCUUCUACUGAUGAAACAGCUCCAAUGGUGGUGCAAUUAGUUCCUCUCAUCAUGAUGGAACUCCACCAGAUUCUUGAGAAACAAAACCUUUCAACUGAUGAGGGGCAAAACGAACUACCUGGUCUUCUCUGUGGUUGCUUGCAGGUCAUCAUACAAAAGUUGGGUUCAUCCGAGCCAACAAAAUACCACUUCAUGCAGUAUGCUGACCAAAUGAUGGCCCUGUUCCUAAGAGUGUUUGCUUCUCGUAGUGCCACGGCACUUGAGGAGGCUAUGCUUGCCGUUGGAGCUCUGGCUUAUGCAUCUGGCCUAGAUUUUGCUAAAUACAUGCCGGAAUUUUACAAGUAUCUGGAGAUGGGACUCCAGAAUUUUGAAGACUACCAGGUUUGUGCCAUUACAGUAGGCGUAGUUGGUGAUGUAUGCAGGGCCUUGGAGGAAAAGAUUUUGCCUUAUUGCGAUGGGAUAAUGACCCAACUUCUGAAGGAUUUGUCAAGUAACCAGCUGCAUCGAUCUGUGAAGCCUCCUAUAUUCUCAUGCUUUGGGGAUAUUGCCUUGGCAAUUGGUGAAAACUUUGAGAAGUACUUGUUAUAUGCUAUGCCUAUGCUUCAGAGUGCUGCUGAGCUAUCUGCUCACACAUCAGGUGCUGAUGAUGAUAUGACAGAGUACACAAAUUCAUUGAGAAAUGGAAUCUUGGAGGCAUACUCUGGGAUCUUCCAGGGGUUUAAGGGCUCUCCGAAGACUCAACUCUUGAUGCCCUAUGCUCCUUUUGUACUGCAGUUUUUGGAUAGUUUGUACAUGGCGAAGGACAUGGAUGAUGUUGUGACAAAGACAGCUAUUGGUGUACUUGGAGAUUUAGCUGAUACGUUGGGUAGUAAUGCUGGUCCCUUAAUUCAGCAAUCGGUGUCCAGCAAAGAUUUCCUCAAAGAGAGCUUGUCAUCUGAUGAUCAUAUGAUUAAGGAGUCAGCUGAAUGGGCCAAGUUGGCUAUCAGUCGAGCCAUAUCAUUUUGAGGUAAUUGCAGUUUCAUGGGACCUUCUCCUUGCAUAAAUUUGUAUGCAUUAGAAACUAUGGAGUUUUUCAUACAUGAGGAGAAACAGGUUUAACAGUGAGGAUGGACCAAAAUGGAUCUUUUUUUCUCUUAUGAUUUUGCCUGAUGAGAUAAAUGAAGAUCCAGAAUUAGCAUAUGGUGACAGGUUUGCAAGAAGAAAUAUUGUGUGCUAUCCUUUGGAUGUGAUUGCUGCUGUUCAAGAAGAGCAGGCAGAUUUCACGACUGACUUCAAGUCACCUCUCUAUCUUGCUGUUACCAUAGCUGUAAGGAUCUAUCAUGAAGCCUUAAAAUUUUCAUUUUCUUUCUUUCUUUCUUUCUUUUUUGUGGUAACUACAAUUUUCAUUUUCUGGGAAAGCCGAUAUGGUGAUGACUUUGGGGGAAACUAAUAGCCGAUGAAAUCAAUCGAAGGAAUUCAAUGAAACUGAUUACAUUGUUUCUGUUUCACAGGGAAAGUAAAAAGUACUAGUGAGCAUUCAUUGAUGUCAUUUUCCUCAAUGCUUUUAGUAUUAGUUUAGCAUUUCCCCAGUAGUAUUUAACGAUGAAUGUAAUUAUGGCUUGGGAAGAAUAGGGUAUCCUCUUAUGUACGACACAAUUAUGAAUUAUUCACUCUGUCCUUGUAUACAAGGUAUUUUUUAGAAA